UACGUAGGAGGCGAGCGUUGUCCGGAGUUACUGGGCGUAAAGGGUGCGCAGGCGGCGGUUCGCGUGGAUAGAUGAAAUCUCCUGGCUUACCUGGGAGGAUGGUAUCCAGACGGGAUCGCUUGAGGGUCGGAGAGGGGCGUGGAAUUCCGGGUGGAGCGGUGAAAUGCGUAGAUAUCAAGAGGAACACCUGAGGUGAAGACGGGUUGCUGGGCCGACACUGACGCUGAGUGCGCGAAAGCCAGGGAAGCAAACGGG
rnacentral:rRNA from 1 species